GAUAGUACCUUACUACUUGGAUACCCGUAGUAAUUCUAGAGCUAAUACAUGCAUCAACGCCCAAUCGGGCCGCGUUUAUUAGAUAGAAACCCAUAUUUUUGGUGAAUCAUAAUAACUGUGCGAAUCGCAUGGGUUUACCCCGGCGAUGAAUCAAUCAAGUUUCUGCCCUAUCAGCUUUCGAUGGUAGGGUAUUGGCCUACCAUGGCGUUAACGGGUAACGGAGAAUUAGGGUUCGAUUCCGGAGAGGGAGCCUGAGAAACGGCUACCACAUCCAAGGAAGGCAGCAGGCGCGUAAAUUACCCAAUCCUGACACAGGGAGGUAGUGACAAUAAAUAACAAUGCCGGGCUUUUUCAAGUCUGGCAAUUGGAAUGAGAACAAUUUAAAUCCCUUAACGAGGAUCAAUUGGAGGGCAAGUCUGGUGCCAGCAGCCGCGGUAAUUCCAGCUCCAAUAGCGUAUAUUAAUGUUGUUGCAGUUAAAAAGCUCGUAGUUGGAUUUCUGGUGGGAGUGGCCGGUCCGCCGUAAGGUGUGUACUUGGUUGUCUCCUGUCAUCCUUGUGGGAACUGCUCUGGCAUUAAGUUGUCGGGGUUGGGGAACACAUCGUUUACUGUGAAAAAAUUAGAGUGUUUAAAGCAGGCUUAUGCCGUUGAACACAUUAGCAUGGAAUAAUAAGAUAGGACUUUGGCGUCUAUUUUGUUGGUUUGCACACCAAAGUAAUGAUUAAUAGGGAUAGUUGGGGGUAUUCGUAUUUAAUUGUCAGAGGUGAAAUUCUUGGAUUUAUGAAAGACGAACUUCUGCGAAAGCAUUUACCAAAGAUGUUUUCAUUAAUCAAGAACGAAAGUUAGGGGAUCGAAGAUGAUUAGAUACCAUCGUAGUCUUAACCAUAAACUAUGCCGACUAGGGAUUGGCGGUCGUUCAUUUAUGACUCCGUCAGCACCUUAUGAGAAAUCAAAGUCUUUGGGUU
rnacentral:rRNA from 1 species